rnacentral:tRNA from 1 species
GCGGCUAUGGUGGAAUUUGGUAGACACGCAAGCUUGAGGUGCUUGUGGGCGAAAGCCUGUGCUGGUUCAAGUCCAGUUAGCCGCA